CUUCGACUUUUCAUUCUCUUUUUCUUCAGAAUCCUGUUUUCUUUCGUCCUCUUGCUCGGUGAUUUCAAAAAGAAGAGGAGAGGUCGACCAAUCCAUCUGAGAAGCAGAGAGACGACCACUCACUCCUGAGCUAUAACUUUUACAUGUUUGAUUUCCCAUGUUGGAUCAACA
rnacentral:ribozyme from 13 species